rnacentral:rRNA from 1 species
CCUACGGGUGGCAGCAGUGGGGAAUAUUGGGCAAUGGGCGCAAGCCUGACCCAGCAACGCCGCGUGAAGGAAGAAGGCUUUCGGGUUGUAAACUUCUUUUAAGAGGGAAGAGCAGAAGACGGUACCUCUUGAAUAAGCCACGGCUAACUACGUGCCAGCAGCCGCGGUAAUACGUAGGUGGCAAGCGUUGUCCGGAUUUACUGGGUGUAAAGGGCGUGUAGCCGGGCUGACAAGUCAGAUGUGAAAUUCCGGGGCUCAACCCCGGACCUGAAUUUGAAACUGUUGGUCUUGAGUAUCGGAGAGGCAGGCGAAAUUCCGAGUGUGGCGGGGAAAGGAGUAGAAAUUAGGAGGAACACCAGUGGCGAGGGGGGCCUGCUGGACGACAACUGAGGGUGAGGCGGGAAAGCGUGGGGAGCAAACAGGAUUAGAUACCCGAGUAGUC